CUUGGGUAUCAGGUACCAGUGGUUGGCAGAGGGUCAUUCCGGCAUCCUCUCCUGCUGAGCCAGGAUUUCUUGAGCCAGAUCUUUCAAGUGCCCCCAACCACAUGUCCAGUGGCAAUGUCUUUUCAGCUGCUCACGGUGGUUCCAGGGUCAGUACUGCUUCCAGGCACAGAAGCACAGCACUCCGAGGGGAGGCCAGGCAGAAAUGGAGGAAGAAAGGGAGGCGUCCCUUGUAGUUUUCAAUCCCUUUCUCUUCUUCAAGUCAGUGUCAGGAGUCAACAGGUGUGUAGAGCACAGAUCCACGCAGGAAGCAAAAUACAGUGUAGUACAUUUUGAUCGCUGGGACAUGGCAGGAGGCGAUGGAUGAGAGGUUUCAGAAGAGCUCAUGCUACAGAAGCUGAGAUUCAACCAGUCUAGGAGACCCCAGUGCCUCUCAGUGUGCGGGUGACUGCCGAAGGAAGUUAAAUAGGAGAGUGAACAGUGCAUCAUUCUGCAUGAAUCCUAACUCCGAGUAGACUUCAUAUGGAGCAAUUUCGGUUGAGAUGAGAAUUGUAAAGUUUUUGUUUAACAUAGUGCUGUUUUUAUUUAGUUUUGAUUAAAUAU
ensembl:lncRNA